rnacentral:lncRNA from 1 species
UCAUUUAAACUUCAUUUUUGCUACUGCCUAAAAACAAAAGAUUUUCACCUUUGAACCCCUUUUCUUGCUCUUCUUCGACAGAUCAAAGAGAAGUAGCUCAACCGCCAUUUUGAGCCAAACUUCGACUUCAAAAAAGGCUUCUCCGGCGCCGCGACGGUGAGUUUAGGUAAAAUCUUUCUCAUUUUCCUUUUUUAUAUUUUCAUAUGUAUGAAAAGAAAUGAAAAGAAUGAACUGAAGCAAUAGAAAAUCAAAAUCAAAGAAUCACCUUUUAAAUUUUCUUUGCACUUAUUUCUUUGCAAUUGAUUUUUUUUGUGUAUCUUGUAUUCUCUUGUAACCCAAAAAAAAACAAAUGAAUAUUCAUGGCUUUAUAUAACCAUUUUACAAUUGUUUUUGUGCACAUUUGCAGGUAUGACAGACGUGGCUUGGACGUGGUACGUGGGGAUGUGCGUGGUGAAGGGUGGUGGAGGAUGUGGGUAGUGCGUGGAGGUGGAAGCGGCGCCGGCCAAAGGGAGAGCCUCAAUGUUAGGGUUUGUUAUUCCUAAAAAAAUUUUGGGCUAUUGGGCUUAUGUAAUCGGGCCAAAAUUAUAUUUUGGGCCAGCAUUUAAACUUGGGCUUUAAAAUUUGUAUUGGACUGUUAUUAUUUAUUUUUGGUUUUUUUGUUUUGUAUGUAUAUGGGCCCGGACUAAAAUUGGGUCUUACAGAGAUAUCUAUAAUAAUAAAUAAAUUUUUACAUAUAAUAUAAAUCAGGCAUAUUCAAACUCGAAAAUUUAUCUUACAUAUGAUAACUUUUAUAAAAAAGAAUAAUCAUUCGUUAAAGAUAAAUUUAAUCGUAAGUCUAAUAAUUUCGAGCUUGAUUCAAUCUGAUUUGAACACUUAUAAUAUGAUAUAUAGAUUAGUUGAAGCUAAAUUAAUAUAUAUUCCUAGUUUCCUC